GCAUGUGCACCGCUCGUGGCUCUUUUGGUUACGUUCAAGCCUUGACCAGCGCCUGCAGAUACGGUGCAGCUCCUUACGGGCACAUGUUGGAAUGGAAAUAAAGAGUUCAACGGUGGCUAAGCAGCCAUAUUUUUCAACAGUUGUGUGCUCAUCAAUCAAACUUAAGUUAUUUUACUCUCACGGAACCACAAGGCCUGCUGGCUUCCAUUGUUUUUGUCUAGUCAAGAGCAAACUUCUGUGGGCAGCCGGUGGUAUCCAAGAGGGAAAGGACCUGGAUUGCUCUGGUUACUGCAGCUGCGUCUUAUUUUAGGUGGUCACCUUUUCUACUGUAUUUAAAAAUUUUGUAAAAUCAUUCUGCAUGUCCUUUAAUUUAUUAGUCAAU